CACGUAGGGCACAGACGUUGUCCGGAUUUAUUGGGCGUAAAGAGCUCGUAGGCGGUUCGGUAAGUCGGGUGUGAAAACUCUGGGCUCAACCCAGAGCCGCCACCUGAUACUGCUGUGACUAGAGUGCGGUAGGGGAGCGGGGAAUUCCUGGUGUAGCGGUGAAAUGCGCAGAUAUCAGGAGGAACACCCGUAGCGAAGGCGGCACUCUGGGCCGAUACUGACACUGAGGAGCGAAAGCGUGGGGAGCGAACAGG
rnacentral:rRNA from 1 species